GACGAAGGGGGCUAGCGUUGUUCGGAAUUACUGGGCGUAAAGCGCGUGUAGGCGGUUUUCCACGUCGGGUGUGAAAGCCUUGAGCUCAACUCAAGAAAUGCACUCGGUACUGGGUGACUAGAGGACCGGAGAGGAUAGUGGAAUUCCCAGUGUAGUGGUGAAAUACGUAGAGAUUGGGAAGAACACCAGUGGCGAAGGCGGCUAUCUGGACGGUUUCUGAUGCUAAGACGCGAAAGCGUGGGGAGCAAACAGG
rnacentral:rRNA from 1 species